rnacentral:rRNA from 1 species
GAUGAACGCUGGCGGCGUGCCUAAUACAUGCAAGUCGAGCGAACAGACGAGGAGCUUGCUCCUCUGACGUUAGCGGCGGACGGGUGAGUAACACGUGGAUAACCUACCUAUAAGACUGGGAUAACUUCGGGAAACCGGAGCUAAUACCGGAUAAUAUAUUGAACCGCAUGGUUCAAUAGUGAAAGACGGUUUUGCUGUCACUUAUAGAUGGAUCCGCGCUGCAUUAGCUAGUUGGUAAGGUAACGGCUUACCAAGGCAACGAUGCGUAGCCGACCUGAGAGGGGGAUAGGCCACACUAGAAGUGAGACACGGUCCAGACUCCUACGGGAGGCAGCAGUAGGGAAUCGUCCGCAAUGGGCGAAAGCAUGACGGAGCAACGCCGCGUGAGUGAUGAAGGUCUUCGGAUCGUAAAACUCUGUUAUUAGGGAAGAACAGAUGUGUAAGUAACUAUGCACGUCUUGACGGUACCUAAUCAGAAAGCAACGGCUAACUACGUG